UCUCUUCAGAUCGUAUAAAUCUUUCGCCUUUUACUAAAGAUUUCCGUGGAGAGGAACAAUUCUGAGUCUUAAACCAAAUUUUUUGAGGCCUUGCUCUGGCGAGGCUAACAACACUGUUCAAAAAGUAGAGUGUCACUUAUAGUUGACUAGGAUGCUAUGUGUUCUCCAUCAUGAGAUCACUAUUGGGGUCGUUUUAGUCUCAGCUUUUCAAGUGUUAGCUUCUUCAAAAGCUGUAAAUUUGAAAUGCAAGCGCCCCAGCAGGCUGACUCCAGCGUGUGACGAGUUGAGAGUUGACAAGAACAUCACAGGACAACAUGUACCACAGUGCCUUAUUUUGGGGGAUCCCCAGCUGGUCUGAUGAAUUUGUAUGAUCAAUGCCUUCUCGUGACUGUAAACUACCACAGUACUGUCAUCUGUUUCUAGAUUGUUCUCCAGCAAUAAAAACUUUAACGAGAGUCAAAAUUAUGCGGUUGUUCUGUCAUAUAAAACGCUUCUAAAGCCUAAAGAAAUAAGGACUGCAUGAUAAGCAA